rnacentral:rRNA from 1 species
UACAGAGGUCCCAAGCGUUGUUCGGAUUCACUGGGCGUAAAGGGUGCGUAGGCGGUCGGGUAAGUCGGGUGUGAAAUCUCGGAGCUUAACUCCGAAACUGCAUUCGAUACUGCCGUGCUUGAGGACUGGAGAGGAGACUGGAAUUUACGGUGUAGCGGUGAAAUGCGUAGAUAUCGUAAGGAAGACCAGUGGCGAAGGCGGGUCUCUGGACAGUUCCUGACGCUGAGGCACGAAGGUCAGGGGAGCAAACGGG